CCAUGAUCCUGUGAGAGUAAAUUUUCAAGACAAUGCAUAUUGCUGACAUGUUUAUGACCGGAAUUAUGGUCCAUUGUACUUUGCCAAGAUCUAUGUGAAAAGAUGUACCAUGUAAUAUUGUGUGGCUCUACCAAGAAGGAAUGAAGAAACAACCAAGAACAAGAUGCUCAGGUCAUCAUUUUUGAUAGCCUUGAAGGAGGAGUGUUGGGGAGGAGCUGAAAGAACUCUAUGAAAAAGUGCCG